rnacentral:pre_miRNA from 1 species
CAAAUACUCCCUCCGUCUGGAAAUACUUGUCAUCAAAAUGGAUAAAAGGAAAUGUAUCUAGACAUAUUUUAGUUUUAGAUACAUCUCUUUUUAUCCAUUUUGAUGACAAGUAUUUUUGGACGGAGGGAGUAGAAA